rnacentral:rRNA from 1 species
UAGCGUAUAUUAAAGUUGUUGCAGUUAAAACGCUCGUAGUCGGAUUUCGGGGCGGUCUCGCCGGUCUGCCGAUGGGUAUGCACUGGCAGGGCCGUCCUUCCUUCCGGAGACUGCGCCUACUCUUAGCUGAGCGGGUGCGGGAGACGGAUCGUUUACUUUGAAAAAAUCAGAGUGUUUCAAGCAGGCAGCUCGCUUUUGCAUGGAUUAGCAUGGGAUAAUGAAAUAGGACUUUGGUGCUAUUUUGUUGGUUUCGAACACCGAAGUAAUGAUUAACAGGGACAGUCAGGGGCACUCGUAUUCCGCCGAGAGAGGUGAAAUUCUCAGACCAGCGGAAGACGAACCACUGCGAAAGCAUUUG